rnacentral:rRNA from 1 species
UAAGACAUGCUAGUCGAGCGUCUUCAGGCUAUGUUGAGGACGCGGCGUACGGCUCAGUAACACGUGGCCAACCUACCCUUAGGACGGAGACAACCCCGGGAAACUGGGGCUAAUCCCCGAUAGGUGAGGACGCCUGGAAUGGUCUCUCACCCAAAGGACGUUGAAGCCAUGCUUUUCAGCGUUGCCUAAGGAUGGAGCCGCGGCCGAUCAGGUUGUUGGUGAGGUAACGGCUCACCAAGCCUAUAACCGGUACGGGCCAUGAGAGUGGGAGCCCGGAGAUGGGCACUGAGACAAGGGCCCAGGCCCUACGGGGCGCAGCAGUUGCGAAACCUCCACAAUGCACGAAAGUGCGAUGGGGCUAACCCGAGUGCCGUCCGCUGAGGAGGGCUUUUCUCCGCUGUAAGGAGGCGGAGGAAUAAGGAGAGGGCAAGACUGGUGUCAGCCGCCGCGGUAAUACCAGCUCUCCGAGUGGUAGGGACGAUUAUUGGGCCUAAAGCGUUCGUAGCCGGCUUGGCAAGUCUCUCGUUAAAUCCAGUGACCUAAUCGCUGGGCUGCGGGAGAUACUGUCAGGCUUGGGAGCGGAAGAG